AGUGAACGCUGGCGGUAGGCCUAACACAUGCAAGUCGAACGGCAGCACAGUAAGAGCUUGCUCUUACGGGGCGAGUGGCGGACGGGUGAGGAAUACAUCGGAAUCUACUUUUUCGUGGGGGAUAACGUAGGGAAACUUACGCUAAUACCGCAUACGACCUACGGGUGAAAGCAGGGGAUCUUCGGACCUUGCGCGAUUGAAUGAGCCGAUGUCGGAUUAGCUAGUUGGCGGGGUAAAGGCCCACCAAGGCGACGAUCCGUAGCUGGUCUGAGAGGAUGAUCAGCCACACUGGAACUGAGACACGGUCCAGACUCCUACGGGAGGCAGCAGUGGGGAAUAUUGGACAAAGGGCGCAAGCCUGAUCCAGCCAUACCGCGUGGGUGAAGAAGGCCUUCGGGUUGUAAAGCCCUUUUGUUGGGAAAGAAAAGCAGCAGGUUAAUACCCCGCUGUUCUGACGGUACCCAAAGAAUAAGCACCGGCUAACUUCGUG
rnacentral:rRNA from 1 species